GAUUCUGAAAUAUCUUACCAAGCACUUUAUUCAAUCUAAAUUUAAAUAGAAGUUUUCCCCACUUCCCAAGAGAGAAACAACAACGAACUAGAUGAGAAUGAGAGGAACUGGAAGAAGUAAUGAAAUCUGAGAAGCUGAAUUUAGCAAUACAGAUGCAAACUGUGCCAUCAGAAGAUUAAAAUGAAAGUGAAAUGUCCUGAAAAUAUCAGAAUCGCAUCAGUAAUAGAAGUAAAUGAAAAGUGAAGACCUCUUUGAAUUAUCUUAUUUCAUUUGACUAUGUUCCUCCUGAGUCACAAAAAAAGGAUGUUACAGCUAUUUUUCUUAAGCUGAUGGGCCAAAAGAUUGUAUUCUAGGCUCCAGGGACACAAGAGUGACCAAAACUGACAGAACAGGUCAUCAUGGAGCUUUCAAUGUGGCUGAGGAUACCUGAGGAAAAAAACAUCUGCUGUCAACCUAAACUAAACUUUGCUAUCAACCACAAUAGGAUAACACAGGGUGCUGAGAGAAUAACACAGAGGUGCUUGAGUAACAUGAGCUCCUAACUGACCACCACUAAGUAUGUGGUUCUACCAAAUGAAUAAAAUCACUG
rnacentral:lncRNA from 1 species